ACCAGCGGCCAUAUCACUCUGCAGCUCAUAACUGGCAGCCCACUGCAGCUCAGCAUGUGUGAGCCUAGUCAGUACCUGGAUGGGAGGCCUUCUGGGAAAAACUAAGGUUGCUGCUGAAA
rnacentral:rRNA from 1 species